GACUCUUGGCAAUGGAUAUCUCGGCUCUCGUAUCGAUGAAGAGCGUGGCGAAAUGCGAUACUUGGUGUGAAUUGCAAAAUUUCAUGAACCAUCGAGUCUUUGAAUGCAAGUUGCGCCCCAAGCCAUUAAGGUGAGGCACGUCUGCUGGGUGUCA